AGGUACUGGAGUGACCACCCAGGACAUCUGCAGCUCUCCAGGAUUUCGGGAGCAUGGAGGUGGGUCACGAAAAUGAUCAUGUCCUGGGGAAAGUGAUGGGAAGAGAAAGGGGUUUAUUCCCUCGCAGUUCCCCCUGGGAAGCCCCAGGAGAGCAGAUUUUUCCAGCCUUGGCAUGCAGUUGGUUUUGCCACCUGGCCAUCACUACUGCUUGCCUGGGGAAUCCCUGUGCCUUCUCUCCAGGUAACAGCCAGGCUCCAGUCCUGUACCUCAACGCUUCCAGUGCCCAGGAGGGGGAAAUAGUGUUGCUUCGAUGUACCAUUGAUGAGCAGUUUCCUGCUACGCGAGUUGUCUUCUGCAAGAAUGGGCUGGAGGAGUUCAGCCUGAAAGCCCAGCAGGGCAGGCUCAUCUACACUAUGGACCUGAACAUCACCUCCAGAAGUGCUGGGACGUACAAGUGUGGGUACCAGCAAAAGAACAAGGAAAACUGGGUGAGGAACUCUGCUCUCAGUGCUCCCCAGACCUUGUCUGUGGCAGGUGCAGGUGCUGGUGAGACCACCACUGAUAUCCAGAGCUCCACAGCUCCACAUGCCCGGAUUCUGCACACCCUCCCCACAGCCAC
rnacentral:lncRNA from 1 species